GCAUUUUCUCAAAAUGUGAAAUUGUUUUUUACCCUGACAGAAUCUCAUAUGAUUUCAUUUCAAAAUAAAAGACUCUGUGGAACCAGGUCCAAACCUCUUAUUUUGAUGUGGUAGAGGGAGACUGACAGCAGGACUGGAUGAAGCUGCUCUAUCGGAGGAAAAUGUCUCGUGUUUUUGAAUAGAUCAUAGUUAUUUUUGGUGUAAAACAAAAAACAUUUUGAGCAGAAGAACAAAAGCCUUCUGUCUUUUCAAAGUCGAGAAAACUACAGAGAAGAGGCUCGGAUUCGGUUUACUACGCCAGGCGCAUGCGCAGCUGCUAUCAGCUACAGGUCCUAAAACCCGCCCGAGCAGCGGUGGACGAUGCGCGCGCAGCCUGCAGCGAUCUCCGGACCUGUCAGGCUAUGAAAGUGGCGCGAACUCCCACGAAGGUUCUCGAAUAAUUCCAGUCGCAGAGAGCCGACAGAGUCCGUGUGUUUCGCUGGAACUUUCUGUCCUGAGAUAUUUCCAGCUGCAUCACAAUGACGUCCACGCCCAUUUCCUGUCAUGAAAUGUCUCAGGACUCGUGGUCAUCCGCUCUCUCGGUCCAUGUGAAGCUGACUCACCUGGAUUGGGACGCCGAGUCGGCUCUGAUCCAUUUUCAAGGACAGGACCUGAACGUAUGUGAAGCGGACUACAGCGUCCUGAGCGCCGAAAUCCAGCGUUUCCCCAAGGAGGAUGCUGCCGUGGAGGUUGACGAGAUCUGCCUGGUGGAGGACAGGAGCUCGGCUCAGUGGUUCAGAGGGAGAGUUCAGAACAGAGAGGAGCGCUUGUACUACGUUUUCCUGAUAGUAUCAUACACGUCUUGAUUGUUGAUGCCUCCUGCAUAUUUUCCUGCCCAAAGGAGCUGCUCUCUUUGCCUCCAAAGCUGACCAGCGGGUUCCUGGCACAUGUCCUGCUGUUUCAGAGUUGCAGUCAGCCUUCAGUGGAUCUGUUCUUCUCAAACCUGAUUGGCAGAAACCUCACAGGUUUGGUUCACGCCGUCCUCCCUCUCCACGCCGUCUUACUGGAGGCUCCGGACAUCAACCGGGAUCUCAUCCAGCACGGCUUUGGGUGGCACGUGGACACCGAUACCUUCCUGUGUUUGGUUGAGCUGCUCACAGGCGUAGCUCUUGAACGGAAGUCCGACCCCGUCCUGCAGAGGUACAGAGACUUCCUGUCCGUCUGUGGGCCCAGGUUGACUUGUGGAGGUGAGGCUGAGGUCCGGGUCACGGCUGCUUUUGACC
rnacentral:lncRNA from 1 species